rnacentral:rRNA from 1 species
AUAUAAGUAAGCGGAGGAAAAGAAACUAAAUAGGAUUCCCUUAGUAAUGGCGAAUGAACAGGGAUGAGCUCGGCAUGGAAAUCGGGGCAUCUGGCCUUGAAUUGUAGCCUCGAGAAGUUUUACCAACAUAGGCGCAGAUGUAAGCUUCUUGGAAAAGAACAUCACUGUGGGUGAGAAUCCCGUGUGUCAUCUGCAGUCCUGUGUGUACGGUAUGCUUUCUCAGAGUCGCGUUCCUCGGAAUUGGAGCGUAAAGUUGGUGGUAAAUUUCAUCUAAAGCUAAAUAAUGGCUUGAGACCGAUAGCGCACAAGUA